rnacentral:rRNA from 1 species
AUUGAACGCUGGCGGCAUGCCUUACACAUGCAAGUCGAACGGUAACGGACCUUCAGCUUCCGCCGAGUGGCGGACGGGUGCGUAAUACAUCGGAACGUACCCGAUCCUGGGUGAUAACGGGGCGUAAGGUUUGCUAAUACCGCAUACUAUCUACUGAUGCCAGCGGGGGACCGCAAGGCCUUGCCGGGCCUGGCGCGCUGAUGGCAGAUUAGGUAGUUGGCGGGAUAAAGGCCCACCAAGGCGACGAUCCGUAGCUGGUCUGAGAGGAUGAUCAGCCACACUGGAACUGAGACACGGUCCAGACUCCUACGGGAGGCAGCAGUGGGGAAUAUUGGACAAUGGGCGCAAGCCUGAUCCAGCCAUACCGCGUGGGUGAAGAAGGCCUUCGGGUUGUAAAGCCCUUUUGUUGGGAAAGAAAAGCAGCAGGUUAAUACCCCGCUGUUCUGACGGUACCCAAAGAAUAAGCACCGGCUAACUUCGUG